rnacentral:piRNA from 2 species
UUGAUCACAACCAGUUACAGAUUU